rfam:Gossypium hirsutum cultivar TM-1 chromosome 23, whole genome shotgun sequence
AAUUUAUGGUGUGGGCAGUUUUGAAUAAACUUUUUGAAGUGCUCCCAUGACUCAUUAAAACUUUCCUCUUCCAUCUAUCUAAAGAUAACAAUCUCUCUUCUUAGUU